rnacentral:lncRNA from 1 species
AACCCUCUUCUUCUCCAACACUAUUCUUCUACAUCCUCAUCAUGGGAACGAAGAUUGAUUUUGAAAUUCUAAAAAAAUCCACAAAAAUCCUUAUUCCUGUAUUUUUUAGAAAAACAUAUUCACCAAAACAUUAUCUCUUCUUCACCAAAACCUUCUCCAACACAUAAAAAUUGAAUUUUUAUCCCAAAACAAAACCUAUCUAUCACCUUCCCUCUUAAACGAACCUCUCUUAUCCACUUACCUUCUCAAUUGUUAUGCCUCUAUCUCCGACAACAACCACAACACCAACAACAACAAGCAACGCCGCUAACAACCGUCGAUGGGAUUUGAUGCUCCAUGAAUUCGUCACAGGCGGCGUCAAACAAUUCAAUUUUAUGUCCUCCUGGUGCCGAAUCCAGAUCUGUAAUCAAGGAAAACAUCAUAUUUUAAUUUGAUUCUGUCUCGAAUUUCCCUUCCAAAUCUACCGAAUCCAGAUUUGUCUUCAUGAACGAAGAGGCUGAGAAGUAAUUGUUUUGAAUUUGAAUCAGAUUCGAAUUUGGGAGAUUUGGGUUGCAGCGGUACUGGAUUUUCAGGAUUGAAUGUCAAGGAUUUGGGGAUGAACUUCUAGGUUUCAGAUUUUAACUUGGUGAUGAUGAUGAAUUUGUUGUUUGAAAGAUUGGUACUAAUAUCAUUAAUUUUUCUGCAGGGACAGUGAUAUCAUUCAUAUGUACUGAAGCAAAUCUGGAAAUUUGAACGAUGUGAUGAUGAUGAAUUUGUUGUUUGAAAGAUUGGUACUAAUAUCAUUAAUUUUUCUGCAGGGACAGUGAUAUCAUUCAUAUGUACUGAAGCAAAUCUGGAAAUUUGAACGAUGUGAUGAUGAUGAAUUUGUUGUUUGAAAGAUUGGUACUAAUAUCAUUAAUUUUUCUGCAGGGACAGUGAUAUCAUUCAUAUGUACUGAAGCAAAUCUGGAAAUUUGAACGAUGUGAUGAUGAUGAAUUUGUUGUAUUGAAGAUUUUGAUGAAUAUUGAUAACUUCUCAAAUCUGGAAAUCAGUAGAUGAACAUCACUUAUUUGUGUUAGGGGUAUUUUGGUCCAUUCACAUGAAAUAAGUCAAUUAGAACUACCACGUCAGCUAAUCAGUGACGUGGCAGUAAUUAACUGGGCUCAGAGACAAAAUUUUAAAUGAUUAAACUUUUGGAGGAUAGAUUGCCAGGAUUAACAAAUAUAAGGACCAAUUUUUAAAUGACCCCUAUAUGCAGGGAUGAAAAACAUAUUAAAGCC